rnacentral:piRNA from 1 species
UGGUGAGCCUUUGUGUGGCUGAGACUGAA